rnacentral:rRNA from 1 species
ACUCCUACGGGAGGCAGCAGUGGGGAAUAUUGCACAAUGGGCGCAAGCCUGAUGCAGCCAUGCCGCGUGUGUGAAGAAGGCCUUCGGGUUGUAAAGCACUUUCAGUCGUGAGGAAGGUAGUGUAGUUAAUAGCUGCAUUAUUUGACGUUAGCGACAGAAGAAAGCACCCGGGCUAACUCCGUGCCAGCAGCCGCGGUAAUACGGAGGGUGCGAGCGUUAAUCGGAAUUACUGGGCGUAAAGCGCAUGCAGGUGGUUUGUUAAGUCAGAUGUG